CCUACGGGGGGCAGCAGUGAGGAAUAUUGGUCAAUGGGCGGGAGUCUGAACCAGCCAUGCCGCGUGAGGGAAGACGGAUCUAUGAGUUGUAAACUUCUUUUGUAAAGGAAUAAACCUGGAGACGUGUAUUCAGCUGCAAGUACUGUACGAAUAAGGAUCGGCUAACUCCGUGCCAGCAGCCGCGGUAAUACGGAGGAUCCAAGCGUUAUCCGGAUUUAUUGGGUUUAAAGGGUGCGUAGGCGGACUGUUAAGUUAGCGGUGAAAUGUCCGAGCUUAACUCGGGAACUGCCUUUAAUACUGGGGAGCUAGAGAGUGUAUGCGGUAGGCGGAAUGGAUGGUGUAGCGGUGAAAUGCUUAGAGAUCACACAGAACACCGAUUGCGAAGGCAGCCUACCAAUCUAUAUCUGACGUUGAGGCACGAAAGCGUGGGGAGCAAACAGGAUUAGAUACCCGAGUAGUC
rnacentral:rRNA from 1 species